AUUGAACGCUGGCGGCAUGCUUUACACAUGCAAGUCGAACGGCAGCGCGGGCUUCGGCCUGGCGGCGAGUGGCGAACGGGUGAGUAAUACAUCGGAACGUGCCCAGUAGUGAGGGAUAGCUCGGCGAAAGCCGGAUUAAUACCGCAUACGACCUGAGGGUGAAAGCGGGGGAUCUUCGGACCUCGCGCUAUUGGAGCGGCCGAUGGCAGAUUAGCUAGUUGGUGGGGUAAAGGCCUACCAAGGCGACGAUCUGUAGCUGGUCUGAGAGGACGACCAGCCACACUGGGACUGAGACACGGCCCAGACUCCUACGGGAGGCAGCAGUGGGGAAUUUUGGACAAUGGGCGAAAGCCUGAUCCAGCAAUGCCGCGUGUGGGAUGAAGGCCUUCGGGUUGUAAAGCACUUUUGGCGGGAACGAAAAGGACUGUGCCAAUACCACGGUUCGAUGACGGUACCCGCAGAAUAAGCACCGGCUAACUACGUG
rnacentral:rRNA from 1 species